rnacentral:lncRNA from 1 species
CUAGUAUCGCGAGAUCAGGAAGGUGGCCGAGUGUGUCGCCGCGGCCAUCAGGGGCUAGAGCAAUGUAUCUUAGGCUCACUUAAGGAAGCUGUAGAGAUGAGCCCAAGGAGGGAAACCAGAAGAGCCCCCCAGGCUCACCAGUUGUUUGUUGGCUCCCUACAAACAUGUCAUUCAAGUGGCUAAUCUUACAACAGCACAAAUUCAUCUAACCAGAAAGAGAAGAGGAGGCUCCAAAGGCACUUGACUACUGAGCAUCACCCUGGACGUGUACAAGUCUGCGUCCUUAUUGUUUUCUUCAUUGGGCCGAACUUUCUGGUCCUCAUCCAACAGCUCUUCUAUCACGUGUUCGAAAGUGUCAGCCAAUGAUGUCAAGCCUCUUGAACCUGCCUUGGGCCCAUUCACGCUCUCCAGAGUCCCAUGGGUCCGCACACCUGGGUAGGCCAAGCCACCUUGUCCUCGGAUGUUUGCUUCUUUCAUGGGGGCAGCCUUCAUGCAACCAAAGUAUGAAAUAACCAUAAGAUACUCUAUUAUAGCAAAGAAGAAAGAUAAUUUCAUUGAGCCAUCCUGUUUUACAGGAUUUUCCCUCCUGGUGAGUCAAAAUGAACAAGAAAUACCCCAGGACCUCCCUUCCCUCCUUGGCCAUUAAUGAGAUGAAGGCAAUUAACUCACAUAGUAUAAAUGAAUCAUUUGAGGUGAUGACUGCAUUUUAGGCAAAUGAUGACUUUCUUGGUUCCAUUGGUUUGCAAGUAAAAGUUACACACAUUGAAAAGACACUGAAACAGAUUUCCUAAAUGCUUCAUUUUCUGGAUGCACCAAUGUUGACCUACUAUACAUGUUAAAUGGUUUUAAAAUAUCACCUUAAAAUAAAGGAAACUUCCAGCUACUAACUCAGCUCUGAAUGGGCUAUGAAAGGCUCCAAAGGUAUGUGAAAAAUUACUGUUAUUUUGCUUUAAAAAAUGUGAUGUCUAAGAGUGUCUGCAAUGUUCUAAUGCUUCAAAACAUGUACGUAAGCCUUGUUUAUCUGGAAAUCAUUUCUUUCUGCUUAUAUCAUUUAUAAAUAGAAAAUGUUCUGUAAUAACUUAAAAUAGUUCCACAUACAUAAUGCUUUUAGUGUCAUAAUACUUACUACUGGUCUAUAUUUACCAACAUUUAUCACAUUUUACAAAAUGAAGUAGAAGAAAAAAAAGACAACGACUUUAUGGCCCUGGAAUUCCAGUAAUGGUGACCAACAUGUUUUAAAUUCCAGUAAAGGUUAUGGUUACAUUUCAACAAGUGUCUCUUUCCUUUUUUUUACCUCUCCUGCUAACCCAGAGGUAAAUUUCCCAAAAA